GCCAAUCUUUUUUUUUCUUUUCUGAGAUGAGAUGAGAGGUGGGGCGCUCGUCUCUCCGGGCUCCGGCGACGGCCGUGGCAGGCAGCAGCGGCUGCGCGGGCCGAGCAGCAGCCGGAGUGUCGGCCCCAUCCCGUUGUGUUUAGUCAGUGACCGAGACGUGGGCCCGUGACCGGGAGCGACCAAACCGGAAUCGCAAUCCUCCGGGUCCGACCUAACCGUCGCCACUCGCUCGCUCCAAACCCUAGCUAGCUACCUACCUCGCGCCGCCGUCUCCGGCGCCCUCGGCCCUUCCGCCGCGUCAACCGCCGGUGACUGCGCGAGGUUCCCCUCCCCAGCGUGGCGCUCUUCGGCAUCUCCGCCCACCCCGAGGGCGCCGGCCUCCGCAACGUCUUCAGCUCAUCCCGGACAGUGAGGUGAGUGGUCUCCAACAGCGGGCGCCGUAUACCAGAUGGUGGCUGCUUUGGGGGCGAGCUCCCAACCACCAGUAUUGCUGUUUGUCCAAGCAAAUUAUACUAUGAAAUCUGGUGGCCUGAGUGGACAACCUAGCUGACCGCCCAAGGUCACAACAUCGAGGCUUGCCGGACCAGGUUGCCACUCUCCGCCCCCAAAGUUUAAAAUGCAUGCUGACUUGCUGAGUAAUCUGCAAUACUUGCUGAUUAUGCGUGUUAAAUGCAUGCUUACGGAGUACUGUCAAUGACACAUACUUUUUCAAGCUAUUAAGUAACUUUUGGGCCCUUCUGGUUAUAAUAGACACGUUUCAGUAAAAAUAGUGGCCCUUGAAUCCGAUGAUAGUUGUCGUGGCAUGCUUCAUGUCUGCAUGUUUGCUAAAGGCAGUAAGAUUACUUUAUUGUGACCACCAUGGAAGCGAGUCCUCACAACAGAUAUUGAAGGAUAUAUCUUCCUGAUUUCCACUUUAAGUUGUUGUGGCUUAGCGAGCUGGACAUGCCCAUUCUACCAUUUUCAUUUUAUUAUACAUGCAAUUAUAUUUUCCUCGUUACAAAAUGAACUGAUCAAAUUGAUGAUUUUGAUAGUAACAAGUUAUUGACGGAUUGAUGCAUUCAUUACGAUAUCCUGUUCAUAAUAAUUUAUCCUAAUACGUUGCUGAAUGCACCUACUUUCGCUCUUUACAACAAGGGUGAUCUAAUGCCUCUACUUGCCUACUCGAUGCAAGUUAUGGUUACUGUUUAUAGAAAUUCAGUAGUACCAAGAUAUCACGUUCAUAAGGAUUUUGUCCUAAUACUCUUGACUACAUGCAGCUGCUUUUGCUUUUUACAGCCAACAACCAACAUGGUAACAUACAAGUCUCUACUUGACUACUGGGAUAAGACGUCUCAAGUUAAAGCGCCUGAAACAUGGGAUCAUAUGAAUUAUGAGGAUGGCCAACUUUUGGAGCUGAGGACUGAAAUAGGCUGCGAAUCCUGAGCCGUGGUGGAAACUGGGUUAAUUAAAUACGCCAAGACUGCAACUGUUAUCUAUAGAUGAAAUAACCAAACUAACUCGCAAGAAGAUAGUCUCCAUGGUCUGAAUGACCAAACAGCGAACACUUAUAUGCUUUUGCUCUCAUUGGCAGGGCUUCAGGAGACAGGAGCCUCAAUGUAUCCAGAAAGGUACAGGUGGCAUGUACACAAGCAUCAUCAAAGAAAUUCUAGUGAUGUUGUUCCUUCAUCUUCGAAGGACGUGAGACAAAUAUUGAGGCACAUAUCCUCGCUAAACAUGCUUUAGGACUGUCUUUAGGACGCCAUGUGUGGCUCCUUAAUCCUCCGGACCUAACUUGUAUUCCAAUAGUUCGUGCUUAUGAUCAAUAAAGAGAAGUGUGUUUAGACUAAAAAAGCGUAAAGAGUUGAACAAAUAUAAGGAGGGUCCGAGACAUGACAUUCUCACCCUCUUAAAGUCAGACCUGCCCUCAAACCGAUGUUGAACUGAGCACCUAGAUCCUACAAUUGUCUGGUGCCAAACUGAGGCAAAACCUGAAUUACUGUUGAAGUAGCAAAGAAAGCCAGCUUCUUUUA